ensembl:lncRNA
GCAGUUUUGCAGUGACAAUCACGCAUUCGGCACGCUGAACUUGGAUUUGAUUAUUUCUAUAUAAUGGUGACCAGCUGUUGCCGAAUGUACUUUUUACUAAUUGGAGGUUACAGCCAACACCGAAAUCCUACAGUUGUUCAUAAACUACAAAACGAACCUAUGAGAAGUUUCUCGAUGGCCUGCCAUUAACAGUCCAAAAACUGCACGAGUCAAAGAGCUGAAUCCUGCGAGCCCAGAGAUUUCACACAGACCUCAGAGGAAUGAACCUCCUGAUCCUGCAAGAGGUGGGAAGAGCUCAGCCGACACUGGGGAAAUACUGCAAGUCAUCAAAACAAUUCCUCUCUCAAGUUUCUCAGAGAUUGUUUCCAAACAGGUUUCCCAGACUCCUCCCCCAUAUUGCACAGCUUGCAUAACAGAUGUAAUGCAAAAUUUCUCCAUGUGUUAAAAAAAAAAAAGAAGUCAGCUGUGGUUGUCAGUAAAAAAAUUUAGUAACAUCAUUUUAGGUUUUAUAGGUUGUGAACUUGCAUUUACAGCAAAAAAAAAAUAAAAAUAAAAAAACAUUAACUGAUAUAAUAACA